rnacentral:rRNA from 1 species
GACAGAGGGUGCAAACGUUGUUCGGAAUUACUGGGCGUAAAGCGUGUGUAGGCGGCUUUGCAAGUCGGAUGUGAAAGCCCUGGGCUCAACCCAGGAAGUGCACUCGAUACUGCAGAGCUUGAGUGUCGGAGAGGUUGGUGGAAUUCUCGGUGUAGAGGUGAAAUUCGUAGAUAUCUGGAGGAACACCGGUGGCGAAGGCGGCGUCCUGGACCAACACUGACACUAAGGAGCGAAAGCCAGGGGAGCAAACGGG